AUCCUUCUAGUAUUAAGCAGUACGGGUGACUUCCAAUCACUAAGUCUCAACUAUGUCUUGAGGAAGGAUA
rnacentral:tRNA from 1 species